ACCUUACCAGCCCUUGACAUCCCGAUCAGGAUUAUCAGAGAUGAUGAUUGUCGGUUCGGCCGGAUCGGUGACAGGUGCUGCAUGGCUGUCGUCAGCUCGUGUCGUGAGAUGUUGGGUUAAGUCCCGCAACGAGCGCAACCCUCGCCCUUAGUUGCCAUCAUUAAGUUGGGCACUCUAAGGGGACUGCCGGUGAUAAGCCGAGAGGAAGGUGGGGAUGACGUCAAGUCCUCAUGGCCCUUACGGGCUGGGCUACACACGUGCUACAAUGGUGGUGACAGUGGGCAGCGAGACCGCGAGGUCGAGCUAAUCUCCAAAAGCCAUCUCAGUUCGGAUUGCACUCUGCAACUCGAGUGCAUGAAGUUGGAAUCGCUAGUAAUCGUGGAUCAGCAUGCCACGGUGAAUACGUUCCCGGGCCUUGUACACACCGCCCGUCACACCAUGGGAGUUGGCUUUACCCGAAGGUGCCGCGCUAACCGCAAG
rnacentral:rRNA from 2 species